CUUCCACUUUCUUCUCCUCAGCUGGAGCAGCAGCAGUGGAGGGGGGCAUUGAUCUUAUCCUCCGUGACUGUCACCUCAUCGUCGUGCAGAAUGAGGGCCGAGCGCUGCCGGACGCGGUGCUAGUCGCAGGAUGAAGUGAGGGCCUUACCCCAACGCGGCCUUAGCUUCCUCGGAAGGACCGAGCAGCUUGGCGGCAGCUGAGGGAAGGGGUCGG
rnacentral:lncRNA from 1 species